rnacentral:rRNA from 1 species
AAGCGUAACAGCUCACUGGUCUAGGAUUCUUGCGCCGAAAAUGUAUCGGGGCUCAAGCCAUGCACCGAAGCUUAGGGUUUGCAACUUGUUGCAAGCGGUAGCGGAGCGUUCCGUAAGCCUGUGAAGCGAUCUGGUAAUGGGUCGUGGAGGUAUCGGAAGUGCGAAUGCAGACAUGAGUAGCGAUAAAGAGGGUGAGAUGCCCUCUCGCCGAAAGACCAAGGGUUCCUGCGCAAGGCUAAUCCGCGCAGGGUGAGCCGGCCCCUAAGACGAGCCCGAAGGGGGUAGUCGAUGGGAACCACGUUAAUAUUCGUGGGCCUGGUGGUGU